rnacentral:pre_miRNA from 1 species
GUGUCCUCACUUGUCCACUUCUGCCUGCUGUGCCCAAAUCAUGGAGCAAAUUUGAGGGGCAGGGCAGGCAGAAGUGGACAAGUAAGGC